AGAGUUUGAUCCUGGCUCAGGAUGAACGCUAGCGGCAGGCCUAAUACAUGCAAGUCGAACGGUGUAGCAAUACAUAGUGGCGCACGGGUGCGUAACACGUAUGCAACCUACCUUACAUUGGGGGAUAGCCUUUCGAAAGGGAGAUUAAUACCGCAUAAGACAGUAACUUGGCAUCAAGUAGCUGUUAAAGAUUUAUCGAUGUAAGCUGGGCAUGCGUCCAAUUAGUUAGUUGGCGAGGUAAUGGCUCACCAAGACGAUGAUUGGUAGGGGAACUGAGAGGUCAAUCCCCCACACUGGCACUGAGAUACGGGCCAGACUCCUACGGGAGGCAGCAGUAGGGAAUAUUGGGCAAUGGACGCAAGUCUGACCCAGCCAUGCCGCGUGCAGGAUGAAGGCGUUAUGCGUUGUAAACUGCUUUUAUACAGGAAGAAACGACUCUUGCGAGAGGCAUUGACGGUACUGUAUGAAUAAGCACCGGCUAACUCCGUGCCAGCAGCCGCGGUAAUACGGAGGGUGCAAGCGUUGUCCGGAUUUAUUGGGUUUAAAGGGUGCGCAGGUGGUUUAUUAAGUCAGUGGUGAAAGACGGUCGCUCAACGAUUGCAGUGCCAUUGAAACUGGUAGACUUGAGUAAAGUAGAGGUGGGCGGAAUUGAUAGUGUAGCGGUGAAAUGCAUAGAUAUUAUCAAGAACUCCAAUUGCGUAGGCAGCUCACUUGGCUUUUACUGACACUCAUGCACGAAAGUGUGGGUAUCAAACAGGAUUAGAUACCCUGGUAGUCCACACUGUAAACGAUGAUAACUA
rnacentral:rRNA from 1 species